CCCUUCGGGUGAGCGGCGGACGGGUGAGUAACGCGUGGGAAUAUGCCCUUUGGUACGGAAUAGUCCUGGGAAACUGGGGGUAAUACCGUAUGCGCCCUUCGGGGGAAAGAUUUAUCGCCAAAGGAUUAGCCCGCGUUGGAUUAGGUAGUUGGUGGGGUAAUGGCCUACCAAGCCGACGAUCCAUAGCUGGUUUGAGAGGAUGAUCAGCCACACUGGGACUGAGACACGGCCCAGACUCCUACGGGAGGCAGCAGUGGGGAAUCUUAGACAAUGGGGGCAACCCUGAUCUAGCCAUGCCGCGUGAGUGAUGAAGGCCCUAGGGUUGUAAAGCUCUUUCAGCUGGGAAGAUAAUGACGGUACCAGCAGAAGAAGCCCCGGCUAACUCCGUGCCAGCAGCCGCGGUAAUACGGAGGGGGCUAGCGUUGUUCGGAAUUACUGGGCGUAAAGCGCACGUAGGCGGACGGGAAAGUUGGGGGUGAAAUCCCGGGGCUCANCCCCGGAACUGCCUUCAAAACUAUCGGUCUGGAGUUCGAGAGAGGUGAGUGGAAUUCCGAGUGUAGAGGUGAAAUUCGUAGAUAUUCGGAGGAACACCAGUGGCGAAGGCGGCUCACUGGCUCGAUACUGACGCUGAGGUGCGAAANCGUGGGGAGCAAACAGGAUUAGAUACCCNGGUAGUCCACGCCGUAAACGAUGAAUGCNAGUCGUCGGGCAGCAUGCUGUUCGGNGACACACCUAACGGAUNAAGCAUUCCNCCUGGGGAGUACGGUCGCAAGAUAAACUNAGNAA
rnacentral:rRNA from 1 species